rnacentral:rRNA from 1 species
UGGGGAAUUUUGGACAAUGGGCGAAAGCCUGAUCCAGCAAUGCCGCGUGAGUGAAGAAGGCCUUCGGGUUGUAAAGCUCUUUUGUCAGGGAAGAAACGGCGGUUUCUAAUACAGACCGCUAAUGACGGUACCUGAAGAAUAAGCACCGGCUAACUACGUGCCAGCAGCCGCGGUAAUACGUAGGGUGCAAGCGUUAAUCGGAAUUACUGGGCGUAAAGCGUGCGCAGGCGGUUUUGUAAGUCUGUCGUGAAAUCCCCGGGCUCAACCUGGGAAUGGCGAUGGAGACUGCAAGGCUAGAGUUUGGCAGAGGGGGGUAGAAUUCCACGUGUAGCAGUGAAAUGCGUAGAUAUGUGGAGGAACACCGAUGGCGAAGGCAGCCCCCUGGGUCAAGACUGACGCUCAUGCACGAAAGCGUGGGGAGCAAACAGGAUUAGAUACCCUGGUAGUCCACGCCCUAAACGAUGUCUACUAGUUGUCGGGUCUUAAUUGACUUGGUAACGCAG